rnacentral:rRNA from 1 species
ACUUAAAUUGAAGAGUUUGAUCAUGGCUCAGAUUGAACGCUGGCGGCAGGCCUAACACAUGCAAGUCGAGCGGUAGCACAGAGAGCUUGCUCUCGGGUGACGAGCGGCGGACGGGUGAGUAAUGUCUGGGAAACUGCCUGAUGGAGGGGGAUAACUACUGGAAACGGUAGCUAAUACCGCAUAAUGUCGCAAGACCAAAGUGGGGGACCUUCGGGCCUCAUGCCAUCAGAUGUGCCCAGAUGGGAUUAGCUAGUAGGUGGGGUAACGGCUCACCUAGGCGACGAUCCCUAGCUGGUCUGAGAGGAU